GCAAAUUGAGGAGUAAAUUGAAACAUUUUGGAAUUUUCCAAACGACGAACUGUGCAAUUUCUGUGCAUUAAUCUGUCAAAAGCAACGUUAAAUGAACGGUCAUACAUUAACAGAUGUUUAAUUCUCAACAAAAGUCAAUGCAGUGCUGCUAUUGUAAAUUUUCCAUGCAACAGGAUCAGCCAAUGUUAUACACAAUUAAACAACGAUGGCCAGGGCUUUUUGUUGAAGAACAGGUUUAUGCAGAAUUUCUAUGCAUAACCUGCGCUGAUCAUGAAGUUACUCCUAACAUCACUGAACCAUUCUACUGUGGGCUUGCUUAUGAU